ACGAACGCUGGCGGCGUGCCUAAUACAUGCCAGUCGAGCGGACUUUCAAGAAGCUUGCUUUUUGAAAGUUAGCGGCGGACGGGUGAGUAACACGUGGGCAACCUGCCUGCAAGACGGGGAUAACUCCGGGAAACCGGUGCUAAUACCGGAUAAUAUCUUCCUUCGCAUGAAGGAAGGUUGAAAGGCGGCGCAAGCUGCCGCUUGCAGAUGGGCCCGCGGCGCAUUAGCUAGUUGGUGAGGUAACGGCUCACCAAGGCGACGAUGCGUAGCCGACCUGAGAGGGUGAUCGGCCACACUGGGACUGAGACACGGCCCAGACUCCUACGGGAGGCAGCAGUAGGGAAUCUUCCGCAAUGGACGAAAGUCUGACGGAGCAACGCCGCGUGAGCGAAGAAGGUCUUCGGAUCGUAAAGCUCUGUUGUCAGGGAAGAACAAGUACCGUUCGAACAGGGCGGUACCUUGACGGUACCUGACCAGAAAGCCACGGCUAACUACGUG
rnacentral:rRNA from 1 species